GACGGAGGGGGCAAGCGUUGUCCGGACUUACUGGGCGUAAAGCGCGUGUAGGUGGCAGUCUGCGUCGGCGCUGAAAGCGCCAGGCUUAACCUGGCGAGGCGUGCCGAUACGAGACCGCUUGAGGCAGGGAGAGGGUAGCGGAAUUCCGGGUGUAGUGGUGAAAUGCGUAGAGAUCCGGAGGAACGCCUGAGGCGAAAGCGGCUACCUGGCCCUGUUCUGACACUGAGACGCGACAGCGUGGGGAGCAAACCGGAUUAGAUACCCGGGUAGUCCACGCCGUAAACGAUGCCAGCUCGGUGUCUGGGGCCCGUUCAGGGCCCUGGGUGCCUUAGCUCACGCGGUAAGCUGGCCGCCUGGGGACUACGAGCGCAAGCUUAAA
rnacentral:rRNA from 1 species